CUGAAGGAACGUUGAAGACGACGACGUUGAUAGGUCGGGUGUGUAAGCGCAGCGAUGCGUUGAGCUAACCGAUACUAAUGAACCGUGAGGCUUAACCUU
rnacentral:rRNA from 3 species